UACGAAGGGGGCUAGCGUUGCUCGGAAUGACUGGGCGUAAAGGGCGCGUAGGCGGCUCAUACAGUCAGAUGUGAAAUUCCUGGGCUUAACCUGGGGGCUGCAUUUGAUACGUGUGGGCUUGAGUGGGGAAGAGGGUCGUGAAAUUCCCAGUGUAGAGGUGAAAUUCGUAGAUAUUGGGAAGAACACCGGUGGCGAAGGCGGCGACCUGGUCCUUGACUGACGCUGAGGCGCGAAAGCGUGGGGAGCAAACAGG
rnacentral:rRNA from 1 species